rnacentral:rRNA from 1 species
GAGUCAGUAGGUUGGUCGUGCCACCGGUACGUACUGGUCUCACUGAUUCCUCCUUCCUGAAGAACCGUAAUGCCAUUAAUUUGGUGUUGCGGGGAAACAGGACUGUUACUUUGAAAAAAUUAGAGUGUUUAAAGCAAGCUAACGCUUGAAUACAUUAUCAUGGAAUAAUGAAAUAGGACGAUCGAUCCUAUUUUGUUGGUUUCUAGGAUUGACGUA